CCAUUAUUUGGUUCUUUUCUGCACACAGAGUGAUGAAGAUUAGUUUUUACCUUUUUGCUGACAAGUUUGGGCUAACACAGAAUCCUUCCUCAGAGCACCGCAGAUUUUGGUAGCGUCACUUCCGUCUCUGUUUAUCUGCAAGCAGCAGAGGACGAUUUCACCUUCUGCUGCCCGAGCCGUUUAAUCAUUCCUAUCCUUAUCUAACACAUUCUCACACCCAAAGCAGCUUAAAGUGAUGUGGGGUGACCACAAGUUUAUUUGCGUUGUACCAGAGCGUCACUUUCUGGUGCCCGCAGUAAAGCGGAGAUUUCACUGACUUGUGACCUUUACCCUCUUGCUAUUUAACCUUCCCCUCACCCCCAUCCUAACCUUAACCCACUUGCGCAUGCAAAACUUUGUUUCUAGUUCCAUGCUGUAGUUCUUUUUUAAAACACAGAACAGUUUUGUUACCUGUUUUCCCGCCACGUUUCGUUUGCGGCUGCAAACUUCCUCAGGCUGACGCUGAUGGUGGCGUCACUUCCUUCUCCGUUUAUCCGCGGGCAGCAGAGGACGUUGUCGCCCUCUGCUGCCCGCUCUCCCAUCUCCGACGAUGCAAUCCCAUGCGCGGUCCAACGUGUAAACUCCAUCGUCCCUGUUCAUGGUCCCACAUCCACGUCUCCUUAUCUCGAUAAACGGAGAAGGAAGUGACGCCACCAUCAGCGUCAGCCUGAGGAAGUUUGCAGCCGCAAAUGAAACGUAGCAGGAAAACAGGUAACGGAACUGUUCUGUGUUUUAAAAAAGAACUACUGCAUGGCAUCCACGUCCGUGUUUAAUUAAUGCAACAAGUGAAAAUUACUGUCCACAAAUCAACCCAAAAUGUCCAGGAAGAGAAAGAUUGAUGCAGAAGGAAGGGUGUUUCAACAAAGAUGGAACAUGUUGAUGCUUCAAGAAAAAAAACCAGUAUGUCUUUACAGUCAUUAGCGUCCAUGCUACUAGCAUCAGUGUCUGCAGCGUUACCUCCUCAUCCUCGGACAAACUGAAAAUACUCCUCUUACUUAGCGCUGAGCUUUUUCAGCAAUUAGCCGACUUUGAAGCCCAGAAAUGGAUUUUAACAACUCAGUAAUCUGUUUGCUGCUGUCAUAGACCAACUUCCAGACUGAGAUGAUUUAACUCCAGUUUAACGACACGCUCAAGUAUGCGCAAUCCUCUCCGACAGCUCCCGCUUCACUCUCCGCCAUUGUUUUUAAAAAAUCUGCCGUCUGGCCCGCAAGGCAUCUUGGGAAAUGUAAACCAAUGAAGGAUACACCGGACCCAUCCUUCAUACAGGUGAAACGAAGGCCGGAUUUGUCGGCCGCAUUUGAAGGAGUCUUCAAAUUGGGACAGGCCUAGCCGCGGCGCUGUGACGUAACCGGUCGACGAAUCCGGCUGUCGAAGGAUGCAGACCCUGAAUUGAGACACAGCCUAUGACUCUGUGGCUGCUGCAGCUUUUAUCCCCCUCCCC
rnacentral:lncRNA from 1 species